UACGUAGGGUGCAAGCGUUGUCCGGAAUUAUUGGGCGUAAAGAGCUCGUAGGCGGUCUGUUGCGUCGGCUGUGAAAACCCGGGGCUCAACUCCGGGCCUGCAGCCGAUACGGGCAGACUAGAGUUCGGCAGGGGAGACUGGAAUUCCUGGUGUAGCGGUGAAAUGCGCAGAUAUCGAGAGGAACACCUGCGGCGAAGGCGGGUAGCUGGGCCGACACUGACGCUGAGGCGCGAAAGCGAGGGGAGCAAACGGG
rnacentral:rRNA from 1 species